CCGCCCAAGGUAGGAUUGAUGAUUAGGGUGAAGUCGUAACAAGGUAUCCGUACGAGAACGUGCGGAUGGAUCACCUCCUUUCUAUGGAGUUAAUACUUUAUAGUAAUUAACUAGUUUUAAUGACNGUUAUGUUUAGUUUUCAGAGAUUAGUUUCUCUGACAAUAGCAAAUAAAUGUUAUUGGAAUUGUUCUUUGAAAACUGGAUAAUAGACAUCUAGUUAUUUUAAUCACUUGAUUAAAAUAACAAUAAUUCAAAAUUUCUGUUAUUUUUAAAAAAUAACUAAAAUUUCACAGUUAUAUUUGUAAAUAAUUCUCAAAAACUGAUUUAAAAUCAGGUCAAAUAAUUUAUAAAACUUUGAAGUUACAAAGGG
rnacentral:misc_RNA from 1 species